rnacentral:siRNA from 1 species
UUUAGAUUUCUAACAACAUA